CGGUAUAUCUUUUCCGGCGGCACGGUGGUCGACUGGUUAGCACCUCAGCUUCACAGUGCAGAGGUCAAAAGGUUCGAUUCUGUCUCCGGCCUUCCUGUGUGGAGUUUGCAUGUUCUGCCCGGGCCUGGGUGGUUUUUCUCCAGGUACUCCGGUUUCUUCCCACAUUCCAAACACAUGCAUGGCAGGUUAAUAGAACACUCAAUACUUCUUACAGCGAAUCAUCAUUAUGUUGGGGUGUUUACAUCAUAUAAAACUUGGCACAGCCCGUCUAUGUGCACAGGAUUAUGGCUGGAGUUCAGAAUACAUUUUGCAUUGCCUCAAGGGAGGCGUUCUCUGUUGGUUGGAGUUUGCCGCUCGGAUGCUUUGACCAGCGGUCCUUUGCAUUGCUAUUUAAAUUAUUUAACCACAUCUCGAAUUUAUGCAAGCGCUGCCUUGGCCGGCUUCUUUGCAAACUUCACACCUUAGGAGAAAUAGUAAACCUCCUAGAAGGUGUGAGCAGUAGAAAUGGAAAUGUCCAGCGGCAUUUAAGCUUGUAGGCUGUCAUCAUUUAAUCCCCUCACGUUCAUAAAGUGAGUAAAUUAAUAAUACAGUAGUAACUGACGUAUACAUGCUGGGGGAUGCUGACAGAUAAAAUUUAUUCCUUAAAACUACUGUCUGUGUCCACAUCUGCUUUAUUUCCUUGUGUUAUCCUCAUAAAGGGGGCUCUGAUAGGCCUUGAAUCUCUAACAGGAAAUGAAAAAAAAAAUGUCUGAUCAGUUGAAAUCAUGUUGGCGUUUUCAUUGACAUUUUUAUUUCCUGGGCACAGUUUCCUUAUUAUCCAGGCAGUAAAAACAUCGCGUGUCUCAGUGGUGUCUUGUUUUGUGUUGCUUUAGACUGAAUGCUUUCAGGAUAAUCCGCUAUGGAGCAUGAUAAUCGGUGAUAAUGAACAAGUCUGUCAAAAGUGAAUGCUUCCUUGAGGCCAAGUAAAGCAAACAAUUGAAUGGUAUUUAAUGACUAAAGUACAAACCCAUAUUCCAAUAAAAUUGGGAAGCAGUGUAAAAUGUAUUAACAACAGAACAACAAUUUACAAAUCCUUUUUGACUCUUUUUCAAGACACAACAAGGACAAGUUUAAUUCAUGUUAAACCUCUGUUUGUAUUUUCUUUUGCAAAUAUUCACUCAUUUUCAAUUUGAUACCAGCAAACAAACAAAAAAAAAAUCUGCGAUAGGGCCGUGUUUACUACUGUGUUACAUCAUAUUUCCUUUUAAAAAUAUCCAAUUAUUGUUUGGGAACUGAACACAUUAAUUGUCCAAUUCAAAAUCAGUUGCUCAACAAUAAGGGGUCUCCUUUGGUGUCUUUUACUCUCCGCAAUGUGCCACAUAUUCUGAAUGAGAGACAGGUCUGGACUGCUGGCAAGCCAGUAUAGUACUUGCACUCUUGUUGUGACGCCACACUGUUGUAACACAUGGAGAGUGUGGUUUGGCAUUGUUUUGCUGAACAUAGCAGGGACGUCCUUAAAAAAUAAGUUAGUUGGAUGGCAGCAUAUGUUUCCCUGAAAUCUGUUUGUAACUUUCACCAUUGAUGGUUUCAUCACAGAUGUACAAGUUACCCAUGCCCACAGGCAAAGGGACAAAACACCAGACAAGAGAGAAUCCAAUUGUUUAUGUUGACUGCAUCUGCGUUGGUUUCUAAAGCGGAGACUUUGAAAUUCACAAAUUCCUAUAAUAGCUCCGACAUAAAUUUUAUUGCUUUCGGCUGCCAAAAGUGUGACUAAGAUGCUAUUCUGGGGCCUCAUUAAAGCGCAAGAUCUUUUACGCUGCAGGUAAAUCAACCAUGUUGUGCAUUACGAAUCGCAGAUAUUGAAGUGCUGUCGGAGGGUCACAGAAAAGUAAUUAUUUUAUUCUCCUUGCACACACAGUAGCUGAGUUUACAUUCACUGCACUUUGAGGAAUUAUUGUAGUAAAAAUAUUGAAGUAAAUUAUCAACCAUGCUGAAGUACAUUAAAAAAAUUAUUAUGCAAUAAAUCACAACCAGAGUUAGCCAGUGAAAGUACAAACUCAACGCUAAAUGGAAAUAAGCAUUAUGAACCAAAGUAACAAAAUGUAAAAAUAAAAAAGUCCUGCAGAGCUACGUAGAAUAACACGGGGUCCACCCUGGCAACAUGCAUCAAUUAGAUGGCGCACGGGGGACCUGACGAGAGGGUCCAUCCACUCCACCACUCAGCACUUCACAUUGUUUAGCUCUCUCAUCAUCCAGAGAACCGUCCAAGCCCAAUCUUCCCCCGGCAAUGAAACCUUCCCAACCGGAAAAUAUUCCCCAGCUAAAGCAAAACUACCCUGUCAAAUAUGAGCGCUCAUCUGCUGAGUCUGAAAAUUCUGUUGGUCGAGUUUCCUCCCAGGACACUCGACAGUGCGAGAAAGUCAUACAUUUCUGAAUAUGACACAUUUGUGAUAUGUCUUUUAUCGCCUCAAUUGGCAGUUAUU